UACGUAGGGGGCAAGCGUUGUCCGGAAUUAUUGGGCGUAAAGAGCGCGUAGGCGGUCCGAUAAGUCGGCUGUGAAAGUCAAGGGCUCAACCCUUGAAAGCCGGCCGAUACUGUCGGACUAGAGUCCGGAAGAGGCGAGUGGAAUUCCCGGUGUAGCGGUGGAAUGCGCAGAUAUCAGGAGGAACACCAAUAGCGAAGGCAGCUCGCUGGGACGUUACUGACACUGAGGCGCGAAAGCGUGGGGAGCGAACAGG
rnacentral:rRNA from 1 species